rnacentral:lncRNA from 1 species
AUUGACUGAUUGCCAGCUUUACAUAUAUAUCAUGAUAUGUGUAAGUGACCCUAUUGCCACUGUUGCUAUCGGCAUAUGCACAUCAGGACAUGACAUAUCAGCUGACCAGGAAAGCAGAGAGGAAUCACCUGACAGGGACCUGGAUACCUGCAAGAAGAUGCACAAGAGAAGAUCAAAUCACCCCUUCAGUGCCAGCAGCAUCACAGACGUCAUAUGGGUCAUGGUCUGAGGCAUAUAUUGAUACACAUGCUAAAAAGAUGCUUCUAAUUUUUUUUUUAAGCCUAUAAACCAGCCUCUAAAUUGUAACAGGUUUCUUAAUGAUAUUAUAAGCACUGUCAAUAGAAACAUUAAAAAAUUGAGUAAUUUCGUUCUUUC